rnacentral:rRNA from 1 species
CCUACGGGAGGCUGCAGUGAGGAAUAUUGGUCAAUGGGCGGAAGCCUGAACCAGCCAAGUAGCGUGCAGGAUGACGGCCCUACGGGUUGUAAACUGCUUUUAUACGGGAAUAACGCGCCUUACGUGUAGGGCUUUGCAUGUACCGUAUGAAUAAGGACCGGCUAAUUCCGUGCCAGCAGCCGCGGUAAUACGGAAGGUCCGGGCGUUAUCCGGAUUUAUUGGGUUUAAAGGGUGCGGAGGCCGGAGGUUAAGUGUGCGGUGAAAUUUGCGGGCUCAACCCCGGCCAAGCGUCGGAAACUGGCGUGCUAGAGUGGGCGAGAAGUAGGCGGAAUGCGUGGUGUAGCGGUGAAAUGCAUAGAUAUCACGCAGAACUCCGAUUGCGAAGGCAGCAUGCCGGAGCCCAACUGACGCUGAGGCACGAAAGCGCGGGUAUCGAACAGGAUUAGAUACCCGGGUAGUC